GCCUGCACCCGUUCCCAUCCCGAACACGGCCGUUAAACGCCCCAGCGCCCAUGGUACUGCAUCUUAAGGUGUGGAAGAGUAGGUCGCUGCCAGGU
rnacentral:rRNA from 1 species